ACUUAUAUAGUUUAAUAAAAAUAUUACAUUUUCAUUGUAAAGUUAUAGUUUUGUUUUAAGUA
rnacentral:tRNA from 1 species